UACGUAGGGUGCAGGCGUUAAUCGGAAUUACUGGGCGUAAAGCGUGCGCAGGCGGUUUGCUAAGACAGGUGUGAAAGCCCCGGGCUUAACCUGGGAACUGCGUUUGAAACUGGGAGACUUGAGUGUGGCAGAGGGGGGUGGAAUUCCACGUGUAGCAGUGAAAUGCGUAGAUAUGUGGAGGAACACCGAUGGCGAAGGCAGCCCCCUGGGUUAACACUGACGCUCAUGCACGAAAGCGUGGGGAGCAAACAGG
rnacentral:rRNA from 1 species